ACUCAAAUGAAUUGACGGGGACCCGCACAAGCAGAGGAGGAUGUGGUUUAAUAUGACGCUACGCGUAGAACCUUACCGAGGCUUGACAUCUUAGGAACCCACUGGAAACAGAGGGGUGCCUUCGGGAGCCUAAUGACAGGUGCUGCAUGGCCGUCGUCAGCUCGUGUCGUGAGAUGUUGGGUUAAGUCCCGCAACGAGCGCAACCCUUAUCGUAUGUUGUAUUUUUCAUGCGAGACUGCCCGGGCCAACCGGGAGGAAGGUGGGGAUGACGUCAGGUCGGCAUGGCCCUUACGCCUCGGGCCACACACGUCCUACAAUGGCCAGUACAACGCGUUGCCAAACCGCAAGGUGGAGCUAAUCGCAUCAAAACUGGUCUCAGUUCGGAUUGCAGGCUGCAACUCGCCUGCAUGAAGUCGGAUUUGCUAGUAAACGUGGGUCAGCACACCACGUUGAAUACGUUCCCGGGUCUUGUACACACCGCCCGU
rnacentral:rRNA from 1 species